GGGCGGGUAGCUUAGUCUGGUGGAGCGUCCGGCUGAUAACCGGAAGGUCGGGAGUUCGAAUCUCCCCUCGCCCA
rnacentral:tRNA from 1 species